rnacentral:lncRNA from 7 species
GAAGGAUCUCACUGAGGGAAAGCUAAAAAGCUAUCUUAGUAACUUUAGACUUGCUUUUAGGAGAGGAAGAGUCACAUUCUGGAAAUGCCUGUGUCUCUCUGUUAACAGAAGUCAGUCCAAGGCUAGCCUUUCUUCCAUGGAUCUGACUGUUGGAAGCCAUAUGUCUAAGACAGUUGGAAGCUACUGAUUCUCCUGGCAGAGCUAAUCACUGAAGAUUUAUAUUAUAAGGUCAGAUUAUGUCCUAACAGGAGCAGAAAUUACCAUUGCAUGUUUAAAAGAAAGAUGAGAAACAUCCUCUCAACUGAGAUGGUAUGAAUGAUCAGUAAACAACUUGUGUACCUAUGGCUACAACACUGGCAUCAUUAGCCAGAUGUCUUUCAAGUUUGUGGACUGUGUUUGAACUACAGCCACUGUACAAUAAAUUAUUGCUGUUGUUCUGUGACAUUAAAGCUGUCAAUCUUCU